CGUGAUAUAUCUUCACUAGAUAGACUAUUUUGUUUACAAUAUGUAGCCAUUGCAAUGACUUGCAGUAAAUUAGUUUGGAGGAGGUUGGUGGAGUAAGUUAACAGUCAGUCAAGCUCAUAAAGAAAAACACAGCGUUUUAAAAACGUCAGCUGAAUAACGUUAUUUCACGUUUGGUAGUUUUAUCCGAGUUGAAAACUGUCAGCUUUGAGUUGACUUUUGAGGCACUUUUUACUCAGCUGUUCUAUGGAAACGUAUCAGGACAAAUAAAACGCUAACCAAAAGUUAUUCUGUCCAGAGUAACGUUAUCCAUGUAAGUAAUUUACCAGAUGAUAUCAAUUGACUAAAUUAAUAAUGACAUUGCGUAUGAAACAAACGGUCUGCUUAAUCAGAUGAACAGACCCGCGUCAGUUAUUCAUGACUUUGCUAACUUACGCCACGAGCAACACUUGAUUCUAUUAGAAAAAGCUUUUUUAAAUGUCUCGCGUGACGUCUGGUAUAUUAACUGAAAAAAAUCGCUUUGUAGUGGCCACACCUUAAAGCUGACGUUUUCAGAAGAGAACCGUGUUUUAAGAUCUCAUUUUGUCCAACAUUGCGUCCUAUGACAGAUAUAAUACUUAUUUCAUUAUUGCUCUGUGUAUGUGUGACCUUCAUCAUUUGAGGUUGUGUGUUGAUUUCACCUCUGAAUAUUUCCUCUUAUAGGUCCAUCAUCCUUGCAUGCGCUACACACUCAAAAGCAUUGAUAAAUGCUGAAUUUAAAAGAAUCACUACUGUCUAAUGUUCCUGCGUGUCACCUGGACCUCCAAUCCAAAAACCUGAUGAAACUCUUCUAUCAGAAAGGAGGACAGCUAGCAAAAAGACUUCAAACAAUUAAUGAUCAAAUGACAGAAGGCAUGGAUGAAGUCAGCAUCAGUGAGGUCAUUUGAAGACACCAAUGUUGGGAUUUGUGCUCUCAAACAACAUGCUUCUUGUGAUGAAGAAGAGGAUCUUUGUAUAGUCCUGGAAGCCAUGAAGGUGUUGCAACAUCGUGUUUGAGCUGAUGUAUGCCUUAAACCUGAUCUCCGCUUUAUUUUUGAGGAAAUCCAAACUGCAUUGAGAGUAACUUUAACGAACAGUUUCUUUCAGUGAAAGGAUCAGAAAGACUGUGCUGCUCAUUUAUGUUCUUUUUAUUUAUCUGUUUUAAGUGUUUUCUCUUAUUAAUACAUUAACAGUUUGCUGCUCAGAGUCGAUUUUGGAAAUGGUUGUUGUAUUUUGUUUUUGUUGAAUCUUUGAUUAACAGUUUAUAAAUGCUGUAGCUCUGACUUUCUGAAGGAGUGAUAUUUUCCAGUUUGUAAAUCCAUUUUAU